rnacentral:rRNA from 1 species
GGGGCAGCGGGGGCGAAGCUUGCUUCGCCUGCCGGCGACCGGCGCACGGGUGAGUAACACGUAUGCGACCUGCCCCCCGCAGGGGGAUAACCGGGAGAAAUCCCGACUAAUACCGCGUAACGCCGCGGGGCUGCAUGGCCCCGCGGCCAAAGGAAGCGAUUCCGGCGGGGGAUGGGCAUGCGGCGCAUUAGCUAGUCGGCGGGGUAACGGCCCACCGAGGCGACGAUGCGUAGGGGUUCUGAGAGGAAGGUCCCCCACACUGGUACUGAGACACGGACCAGACUCCUACGGGAGGCAGCAGUGAGGAAUAUUGGUCAAUGGGCGGGAGCCUGAACCAGCCAAGUCGCGUGAGGGAGGACGGUCCUACGGAUUGUAAACCUCUUUUGCCGGGGAGCAACGGGGUCCUUGCGAGGGCCCAAUGAGAGUACCCGGAGAAAAAGCAUCGGCUAACUCCGUGCCAGCAGCCGCGGUAAUACGGAGGAUGCGAGCGUUAUCCGGAUUUAUUGGGUUUAAAGGGUGCGUAGGCGGGCUGUUAAGUCAGCGGUCAAAUGUCGGGGCUCAACCCCGGCCUGCCGUUGAAACUGGCGGCCUCGAGUGGGCGAGAAGUAUGCGGAAUGCGUGGUGUAGCGGUGAAAUGCAUAGAUAUUCACGCAGAACUCCGGAUGGGGAAGGCAGCAUACGGGCGCCUUAUUGACGCUGAGGCACGAAAAGCGGUGGGUAUUGAACAGGAUUAGAUACCCUGGUAGUCCACGCAGUAAACGAUGAAUGCUAGCUGUCCGGUUCUACGGGACUGGGUGGCACAGCGAAAGCGUUAAGCAUUCCACCUGGGGAGUACGCCGGCAACGGUGAAACUCAAAGGAAUUGACGGGGGCCCGCACAAGCGGAGGAACAUGUGGUUUAAUUCGAUGAUACGCGAGGAACCUUACCCGGGCUCAAACGCCAAAGGACAGCCGGUGAAAGCCGGCCUCCCUCCGGGGUCUUUGGCGAGGUGCUGCAUGGUUGUCGUCAGCUCGUGCCGUGAGGUGUCGGCUUAAGCGCCAUAACGAGCGCAACCCCCAUCGACAGUUGCUAACGGGUGAUGCCGAGGACUCUGUCGAGACUGCCGGCGCAAGCUGCGAGGAAGGCGGGGAUGACGUCAAAUCAGCACGGCCCUUACGUCCGGGGCGACACACGUGUUACAAUGGCCGGUACAGCGGGAUGCCAGGGCGCGAGCCCGAGCGGAACCCGAAAACCGGUCUCAGUUCGGAUUGGAGUCUGCAACCCGACUCCAUGAAGCUGGAUUCGCUAGUAAUCG